rnacentral:rRNA from 1 species
AUACGUAGGGUGCAAGCGUUAUCCGGAAUUAUUGGGCGUAAAGGGCUCGUAGGCGGUUCGUCGCGUCCGGUGUGAAAGUCCAUCGCUUAACGGUGGAUCUGCGCCGGGUACGGGCGGGCUGGAGUGCGGUAGGGGAGACUGGAAUUCCCGGUGUAACGGUGGAAUGUGUAGAUACCGGGAAGAACACCAAUGGCGAAGGCAGGUCUCUGGGCCGUUACUGACGCUGAGGAGCGAAAGCGUGGGGAGCGAACAGGAUUAGAUACCCUGGUAGUCCACGCCGUAAACGGUGGAUGCUGGAUGUGGGGCCCGUUCCACGGGUUCCGUGUCGGAGCUAACGCGUUAAGCAUCCCGCCUGGGGAGUACGGCCGCAAGGCUAAAACUCAAAGAAAUUGACGGGGGCCCGCACAAGCGGCGGAGCAUGCGGAUUAAUUCGAUGCAACGCGAAGAACCUUACCUGGGCUUGACAUGUUCCCGACCGCGGCAGAGAUGUCGUUUCCCUUCGGGGCGGGUUCACAGGUGGUGCAUGGUCGUCGUCAGCUCGUGUCGUGAGAUGUUGGGUUAAGUCCCGCAACGAGCGCAACCCUCGCCCUGUGUUGCCAGCACGUCAUGGUGGGAACUCACGGGGGACCGCCGGGGUCAACUCGGAGGAAGGUGGGGAUGACGUCAGAUCAUCAUGCCCCUUACGUCCAGGGCUUCACGCAUGCUACAAUGGCCGGUACAACGGGAUGCGACACGGCGACGUGGAGCGGAUCCCUGAAAACCGGUCUCAGUUCGGAUUGGAGUCUGCAACCCGACUCCAUGAAGGCGGAGUCGCUAGUAAUCGCGGAUCAGCAACGCCGCGGUGAAUGCGUUCCCGGGCCUUGUACACACCGCCCGUCAAGUCAUGAAAGUGGGUAGCACCCGAAGCCGGUGGCCUAACCCUUUGUGGAUGGAGCCGUCUAAGGUGAGACUCGUGAUUGGGACU